UACGUAGGGACCGAGCGUUGUCCGGAAUCAUUGGGCGUAAAGAGCGUGUAGGCGGCUCGGUAAGUCCGCUCUGAAAGCCCGGGGCUCAACCCCGGGAGGCGGGCGGAUACUGUCGGGCUAGAGUCCGGAAGAGGCGAGUGGAAUUCCUGGUGUAGCGGUGAAAUGCGCAGAUAUCAGGAGGAACACCAAUGGCGAAGGCAGCUCGCUGGGACGGUACUGACACUGAGACGCGAAAGCGUGGGGAGCAAACAGG
rnacentral:rRNA from 1 species